rnacentral:piRNA from 1 species
UCCCAGGAGCUUUUCUAACUGUGGAAC